UACGUAGGGGGCAAGCGUUGUCCGGAAUCAUUGGGCGUAAAGCGCGCGUAGGCGGCCAGAUAAGUCCGGUGUGAAAGUCAAAGGCUCAACCUUUGAAUGCCGCUGGAAACUGUCUGGCUUGAGUCCGGAAGGGGCGAGUGGAAUUCCUGGUGUAGCGGUGAGAUGCGCAGAUAUCAGGAGGAACACCAAUGGCGAAGGCAGCUCGCUGGAACGGUACUGACGCUGAGGCGCGAAAGCGUGGGGAGCGAACAGG
rnacentral:rRNA from 1 species